rnacentral:rRNA from 1 species
UCCGUAGGCGGACUAAUAAGUCAGGGGUGAAAUCCAACAGCUUAACUGUUGAACUGCCUUUGAUACUGUUAGUCUUGAAUUAUAUGGAAGUAGAUAGAAUGUGUAGUGUAGCGGUGAAAUGCUUAGAGAUUACACAGAAUACCGAUUGCGAAGGCAGUCUACUACGUAUAUAUUGACGCUAAUGGACGAAAGCGUGGGGAGCGAACCGGAUUAGAUACCCUGGUAGUCC